AGAAAUUAAUGCAUUAUAUAUUCCUCCCAGCUUGAGCCAGAAUAUGAAGGAGCUGCCAAAGAGCUAGUGAAAGUUGACAUCCCACUAGCAAAAGUAGAUGGCCCAGAGGAGAAGGAACUUGCUGAUGAAUAUGGAGUUUCUGGCUAUCCAACACUUCUGGUGUUUAGAAAUGGGAGACAAUUUGACUUCAAAGGUCGGAGAGACUUGGAGGGAAUUGUAGAGUAUAUGAAGGAACAAGCCAACUUCCAUCCAUGGAGAUAAAAUCGGUGCUGGAAAUGCACAAUAAUAUGGUUCGAACAGAUGCUACUGUCAUUGGUUACUUCACUGAGAAGGGUAACAUGUUUGAAGAAUACAUAGGAGCAGCAAAUGAGCUGAGAGGCAAACUUCCCUUCUUCCACACAUUGGAACCAUCAGUUGCUGAGCACUUCAGCUAAAAGAUAAC